AAUAUGCUGCAUGUUAGUGACUAAUGGUAAUGGUGUGGCAAAAAAUAAGACAAGUAGAUCAAUGAGACUUGUAGUAUAUUCUUUGUUCCCAGAAUGUUAUCCUGGGAGAGCUAAGUUUACAUUAGUUGAAUACAUAAUUUCACUUUCUUUCAGUUCAAAAUUGCAAUCGUGAUUUUUGCACCAAUUAAUGUUGUUGAAGAUGCAUACAAUAUUGUCAUAUGUCUGCUUCAUAAAUUGUGUAUCUUUCAGUUCAGCUCCACUGCAGCUUCAAACUCACAGAAGAUUCCCAUCAGCAGAAGCAGUGAGUCAAUUCAGUUGAUGACAUGCCUCUUCUUCAUCUUGACUCAACGGCUUUUUGAAUAUGAAGUUGGAUCCCAUUUUGAUUUCAUCAUUCAGUCACUCACUUAAACUGGAAGUGAGAUCAAGGAAGGUGUCUUCACUGCAAGGGAUUGUGAUACUGCCCAUGGGAUGAUCGUAUCCAAAUUCUUCUACAGCUUGACUCAGCAAAUCCAUAAAUGAAGGUUGGUUCAAGUAUGAUAUUGGAAUCACAAAUCGCUUCUUCUGGCUCUCUCCGACAUAGACUGCAAAAUAGCCUUUUGGGAUAUCCAAGGUCUUUGAAGCUGUCUGUUUGCAUUAGAUGAAGAUCGAGUCAGACUUCUCUUGGGGCUAACAAUUCCAGGCAGCCGGAAACCCAUGGCUUCCAUAUUCCCAAGUGGAUAAAUAAUAAAAAGACUUGAAAGGAUCUGGGAAAUAGAGAAAGCUUUGAUGUUUGAUAAAUGAGAGGAGUUGAGUUCCUGAUGAUUGAUUUGUGUAUGUAUAUAUAGAUGAUGAAAGGGUGUGUGGAAGAUCAUCUACUACAUGAAAUGAGUGGUUAACAUUGGCACCAAUGAGGGAGGCGAGCUUGUUUCAAAUCAAGAAAUCACAUGGGUUUGUCUUCCCAUUCACUUAAUUCAGCCACCAGCAGAUGCAUAUGCUGCUGCCCUUUUUUUCAAACAUCCUUCCCUACAUCCUUGAGAUGACGGACAAUACAGGGUCACAGGGACCAGAAGUGAGACAAGAAUUGGUGGAUCGCCAAGCCAGCCUACCAUGUGGUCUUGCUGCUUCAUGAGAAGUAGCAGUCUGAUCAAAUGCUAACUAGUACAGGGUAUCAUUAACUUUCACAGAUAUUGAGAAUCUUUACUGAAAUGAAGAAAAGCUUGCAUGCCUCCCAGGAUUUCUGAGCAGUGUAUUCAAUUCUAAAACUCCAAAGUCGACUUCCGAUGUUUAUUAGAGCUUGCAGUUGAUCCUGGAUAAUUUGUGGUACCAUUUCCCUGCUAGAACUUAAUUCUCAGGGAAAGAUAAUAACUCUUUUCAUGCACUCCAGUAUUCGAUUUUCUAUCAUUUUUUAC